GACGAACGCUGGCGGCGUGCUUAACACAUGCAAGUCGAGCGGUAAGGCCCUUUCGGGGGUACGACGAGCGGCGAACGGGUGAGUAACACGUGGGUGACCUGCCCUCAGCUCUGGGAUAAGCCUGGGAAACCGGGUCUAAUACUGGAUAUGACUCCAUGACGCAUGUUGUGGGGUGGAAAGCCUUGUGCGGCUGAGGAUGGGCCCGCGGCCUAUCAGCUUGCUGGUGGGGUGAUGGCCUACCAAGGCGACGACGGGUAGCCGGCCUGAGAGGGCGACCGGCCACACUGGGACUGAGACACGGCCCAGACUCCUACGGGAGGGCAGCAGUGGGGAAUCUUGCGCAAUGGGCGAAAGCCUGACGCAGCGACGCCGCGUGAGGGAUGACGGCCU
rnacentral:rRNA from 1 species